UGUAGGAGCGAGCUUGCUCGCGAUAGCGGUGAUUCAGCCAACAUGAAUGUUGAAUGGCUAUCGCGAGCAGGCUCGCUCCCACC
rnacentral:misc_RNA from 1 species